UACAGAGGGUGCAAGCGUUAAUCGGAAUUACUGGGCGUAAAGGCGCGUAGGCGGCCUGGCAAGUGGAAGGUGAAAUCCCUCGGCUUAACCGAGGAACUGCCCUCCAAACUGCUUGGCUUGAGACCGGGAGAGGUGAGUGGAAUUCCCAGUGUAGCGGUGAAAUGCGUAGAUAUUGGGAGGAACACCAGUGGCGAAGGCGGCUCACUGGACCGGUACUGACGCUGAGGCGCGAAAGCGUGGGGAGCAAACGGG
rnacentral:rRNA from 1 species